rnacentral:tRNA from 1 species
AGCGGGGUAGAGGAAUUCGUCGACUCAUGAGGCUCAUGACCUGAAGACUGCACGUUCGAAUCUUGUCCGUCCUA